AUGACACGUUCGAUGAUGACCGCCGCGAUUUUCCUCGCAACUAAGUCAAUACGGUAACUAAGACCGAAAGGCUGCUGGUCAGGCUACCACUGACAGGCUGUGAGCUUUCAGGGGUAUUGGCCUCCAAGCGCCCGAUUCUUGAGAGUUUUCGACAGAGUUGGCCUAUCGCCUUUCCAGUGCCGCAUGCCAACGCGCUUAUUCAAUGAAGUUAGCACUCAGUCUGUCUGUGGCCCUUGUCGUUCAGAGGGAGGAUCAGCAAGGAUUGGCAGGGGAUUAUCACGAGAAUCCGUCAGUUUAUUGACGCCCUCCCUACCCUAAGUUCCCCUCUCACAGUCAUUUGACUUCGAUGCGCCAGAUUUGGUUGCUGUUGCCGAACAGUUCGCAAUUUUUUAGGGCCUAAUAUUGACAACAAAAUGAAAGAAACUAAAUAAAGAAAAAAAAACAAAUAAAGAUAAUCUUGAUCAAUCAUUGACGAGAGCUUUACUCCCUGGUGUCAAUGAAAGAGAUAGUCUUGCACCUGCCAAGCCCGACAUUGGACAAAAAGUUCGCCGCUAGAGGCGAGACUGAUAAAUUGGUCACAAAACUCCGAGUUAGCCAACCCAGCUUUGAAGUAUACCAAAAGCCAAAUCACACCG
rnacentral:sRNA from 2 species